rnacentral:rRNA from 1 species
UACCAGCACCCCGAGUGGUCGGGACGAUUAUUGGGCCUAAAGCAUCCGUAGCCGGUCCUACAAGUCUUCCGUUAAAUCCACCUGCUUAACAGAUGGGCUGCGGAAGAUACUAUAGGGCUAGGAGGCGGGAGAGGCAAGCGGUACUCAGUGGGUAGGGGUAAAAUCCUCUGAUCCAUUGAAGACCACCAGUGGCGAAGGCGGCUUGCCAGAACGCGCUCGACGGUGAGGGAUGAAAGCUGGGGGAGCAAACCAGGG